CCCCUGCCGCUCCCAGCUCCCCGGCAGCUGGGGCCUGACUCUGCCUCAGCCUUCCUCAGAGAUCCACUGGGAGGGAUGGAUACCAAGGCCGGCGUCCUGAGACAUCUCCAACUCUGUCCUACUUAGGCAGAUUUAGCCAGUGGGCUUGGGGACAAAUUGUGGCCUGCAGUUGCUUCUCCUACUCAGAGAGGCACUAGAGACAGCCCAGGCUGCAAAAGAUGGGGUCCACAUGGAGGGACCCAAGAGAGGUCUGUGUGCAUGUUACAGUGACUCUCUUAGGACUGUGAAUGGUGUCACUGUGGGCUAACAGAAUGUGGAUGGGGGAGGGAGGACUUUCUCGCCCUUGUCUAAGUGUGUCAGUGGGUGCUGUGGCCACGUGCGGGGAGGGACAGCACACUCUGGAACUGACUCAGAACCUCUGUCCACCCAGCCCUGACAGCAGCCCUUGGGGCCUUCACUCCUGGAGGAGGAGGCAGUACCACGACGUGCCCCAUGUUUCUUCCCUCAGCGCCCUCAGCCUCAUAGAUGCCGGGGUAGAGCAGUUCACCUGAGCUACACAUUUUCAACCCCAGAGGGUAAGAGGUCAGGUGUGUGACCAUCUUGCUCCCAUCCUGUUCCCCUCCCUGACAGCUCUUUGUACUCCAGGUUAGGGACCUCCUGCUGCUCAGACAGAGGUGGGUGUGGGAGUAGGAGGCCUGAACUCUGCCUGUCUCAGCUCUCAACACUUU
rnacentral:lncRNA from 1 species